rnacentral:rRNA from 1 species
GACAGAGGGUGCAAACGUUGUUCGGAAUACUGGGCGUAAAGCGUGUGUAGGCGGCUAUGUAAGUCGGAUGUGAAAGCCCCGGGCUCAACUCGGGAAGUGCACUCGAUACUGCGUAGCUUGAGUACCGGAGAGGUUGGUGGAAUUCUCGGUGUAGAGGUGAAAUUCGUAGAUAUCGAGAGGAACACCGGUGGCGAAGGCGGCCAACUGGACGAGUACUGACGCUGAGACACGAAAGCGUGGGGAGCAAACAGG